rnacentral:rRNA from 1 species
GAUGAACGCUGGCGGCGUGCCUAAUACAUGCAAGUCGAGCGAACGGACGAGAAGCUUGCUUUUCUGAUGUUAGCGGCGGACGGGUGAGUAACACGUGGAUAACCUACCUAUAAGACUGGGAUAACUUCGGGAAACCGGAGCUAAUACCGGAUAAUAUUUUGAACCGCAUGGUUCAAAAGUGAAAGACGGUCUUGCUGUCACUUAUAGAUGGAUCCGCGCUGCAUUAGCUAGUUGGUAAGGUAACGGCUUACCAAGGCAACGAUGCAUAGCCGACCUGAGAGGGUGAUCGGCCACACUGGAACUGAGACACGGUCCAGACUCCUACGGGAGGCAGCAGUAGGGAAUCUUCCGCAAUGGGCGAAAGCCUGACGGAGCAACGCCGCGUGAGUGAUGAAGGUCUUCGGAUCGUAAAACUCUGUUAUUAGGGAAGAACAUAUGUGUAAGCAACUGUGCACAUCUUGACGGUACCUAAUCAGAAAGCCACGGCUAACUACGUG